ensembl:lncRNA
CUUCACAAUAGAGACCUUGACCUCUCUAACACAAGCAUAUCAAUUCCUCUCAGAGCUUAACUUAGCUUAACUUCGGAGAGACUGCUUCAAGUUUAAUAUCCUUGGAAAAUUACCAGAAUGAAUAAGACCAGACAUUAAUUCCUCCCUAAAAGUGUUGAAUUUUGGAACCUGCCUAUAGUCUGUAGAUAUUUACACCCUUGGUUCAUCAAACGGAUAAUAAAUACAAGGUUGAAACAAAAAUCUAACUCCUGUGCUCCACUCUCGUUAUAUAUCCUGAACACAGAUGCCUGCUCAGAUAACAGGUCUGUCAUGAAGGCUGUGAACGGCAAGGUGAACACUGCACUAUUUUAAAAUACCUUCAAUCAUAAGAGACUUGAACAUUAUGUAUGAUUUUUAGGGGAGUUGCAGAGAGCGCAUCAAAACUCCUUUGCAUGCAUAGCUUCCAGACCUCAAAGCGGGGAUGUUAUCAGCUGUCAAUCAACAGGUAUUUAUUGAAUCCCUGAUAGUCUCUUAGAAAGCUGCUAGGUUCUGUGGAAAAUCCAGAAGCAAUAGAAACAAAUAACAUUUACUCACAAAGAGUUGAUAUUUGGGUACAAGAGAUAAGAUACAUAAAAUCAUCAAUAAAUCAAAAUGCUUAUUAUCAGGUUAUCAGCAAGAGAGUUCAUCACCCUGGCUGCAUAGCUCAGAGGAUCCUGAAAUUACGGCUAUCGCAGGCAGCCAGAACCCUGGGAGAGUAUAUCAAUAACUCGGCAUCAACCAAACCAGAGUGGUGCCUGUUUCAAACCUGGGUAGACAAAGCAAUUCACAAGAAUUGUCUAAGCCCCAAUAUUUCAAUAGCUUCUCCGUCUUCACCAAAGUUCAGCUUCUUUCUUUGAUAAUAAAGGCCACAGUUUUCUUUAGAGAACCUUCUUCCAUUCUCAUUUUAUGAGUAAGUUUAGAAUGCCCCUGGAGAGUCUAAGCUUUCCAAACUUUAUACAGCAGCAGGACUGAAUUCUUCUAAGAGGAAUUUGAGGACAUGGGGGAGAUAUUAAAAAUCAAUUUGUUGAGUCUAGAGAAAUAACAAAAGAUGAAAAAGGGAAGUCAUUACUAGAUGUUCCAUCAUCAGAAGCUAUGGAGGAGAGAUGGUUAGGUAACAGGAAAAGGAGCAGACUCGAAAGCUGUCUGCCCUUCACCCCAAAUCUCUUUGAAUAUAAGACACUUCGAAGAUUAAGCUUUUGUAACAUUAGCCCCCUGCAGCUUUAAAUCAUUAAAGUUCCACAGCUGUGCUAAAUAUUAUACAAGAGACACAAGAACGAGUAACACGUGCAACAGGAGGAGAGGCAGGCGGCGUGGAGAAAGACACCAACGUUGAGUCACCGUUUUUCUAGGGAUAAAACCGUGAGUUAGGCACACUCGGGAUUUCACUCACUGCCUCCAGGAUGCGACGUGCCCACACCACUCCCGUCAGCAGAUGAAAGAAGUGACUCUCAGAGAAGAGGAAGUCACGGGCCUCAGCCAGCGAGGUCUCCAACCUGGGAGCUGGAGAAGAGACACAAGUGAGGGAAGAUCAGCCUCCACAGCAGAGAUGGAGACGGGGGGAGGCGGGCCUGCGAGGAUGCGGGCAGUCAGCUGCUGAGUGGCGGGCAGCUCUGCAGGGACUUCUGAUUCUGGCCCCCAAAAGAAAAGCUCACGCCCACCGUGUGUGUCACGGUUCACGAGGCUCACAGGAUUUCCCAGGCAGGAAUACUGGAGCGGGGUGCCAAGCCCUCCUCCUGGUGAUCUUCCUGCCCCAAGGACUGAACCCUCGUCUCCUGCGUCGGCAGAUGGUUCUUUACCACCAAGCCCUCCUCCUGGCGAUCUUCCUGCCCCAAGGACUGAACCCUCGUCUCCUGUGUUUCCUGCAUCGGCAGAUGGUUCUUUACCACCAAGCCCUCCUCCUGGUGAUCUUCCUGCCCCGAGGACUGAACCCUCGUCUCCUGCGUCUCCUGCAUCGGCAGAUGGUUCUUUACCACCAGCACGACCUUUCCAUCUACCUAAACCCAAGACGUGUCCCUGGAAGGGGAGCAGACUUUCUAACCCUAAAGUAUGCCUAUUUGGCAUAAGGAUUAUUUCAGGCUGAUUAUUUUUAAGAAACAGCAGACACAGAAGAAUCUUUGAAAACCAAGUAGAAAUUACUCUUUUGUAAGAGACAUCUUGUAAGGGGAAGACUGAAGACAAAAGGAGACGGGGAUGGCAGAGGAUGAGAUGGUUAGACAGCAUCACCUCUCAAU